UAAGUAAUGUGAAUUGCAGAAUUCAGUGAAUCAUCGAAUCUUUGAACGCACAUUGCGCCCGCCAGUAUUCUGGCGGGCAUGCCUGUUCGAGCGUCAUUUCAACCCUCAAGCUCAGCUUGGUGUUGGGACUCGCGGUAACCCGCGUUCCCCAAAUCGAUUGGCGGUCACGUCGAGCUUCCAUAGCGUAGUAAUCAUACACCUCGUUACUGGUAAUCGUCGCGGCCACGCCGUUAAACCCCAACUUCUGAAUGUUGACCUCGGAUCAGGUAGGAAUACCCGCUGAACUUAAGCAUAUCAAUAAGCGGAGGAA
rnacentral:rRNA from 1 species